AUCUAGCUCACGAGUCCCAAGUAGAACGAAACGUGCGUCCUGUAU
rnacentral:hammerhead_ribozyme from 1 species